rnacentral:lncRNA from 1 species
AACAAUUAAAAUGAAAGAAAAAAAAGAGUUACAAAAUUAAAUAUUAAGAAAAUAAUUUGGAUAUUAUUUUGAUUAACUUAAUUAAGGUUUACCUUCAUCAUAAAUUUAAGUAUUUUUAGUUAAGUUAUUAUUAUUUUUUUAUUAAAUACUUAAAAAUUUUAUAUUUUUCCAUUGAAUCUCUAUUAUUAUUUUUUCUAUUUGAGUUAAGUAGUUGAUAUC